UUUAAGAGUUAGAAAAUUUGACCUGACCAACUUGACUUUGAAACUACUAAUGUCCUGACCGAUAUGAAACGGCCAAAAAAUGUUUUAUUAACGACAGGAUAGACUUCAAAUUCGAUACCAAGGAAGAUUAAUACAUUUAAUACAAAAAUAUAAGAAAAAAUAAGAAAAAAAAUAUUUUCAAGAGUUAGAAAACUUGACCUGACCAACUAC
rnacentral:lncRNA from 1 species